UUCACUUUGCUCCAAUGAAAAGUUUUAACAUCUCUUGGCUAUGAUAUGGGAACUCUGUGCUACCAGCAAAAAACAUUGGUCUAUGCCGGAAACGGUAAUCCAGCCCUGAGACUAAAGGUGUGGCCUACACAGGUGCCAGCAGCCGCGGUCAUACCUGGACACCGUUUAAAACAUCUUCAAUGAAGGCUCAGUCAAAUACAUUCUUGCUGCCUAGUGAAAUAGCAGCGGGAAGAGUAACUACUAUUGACUAGUACCCGCCUAAACUCUCAUGGUAAACUAGGAUUAGAUACCCUACUAUAAGGAGCGAAAAGACUUAAUGAAGCACUAAGACUCCCAGGUUAAAACUUAAAGAGCAUGGCGGCGGGCCCGAUUCCUCAGGGGAAUUUACCCGAUAAUUGACAACCCACACGGUGCCCCUCACAGCCCUAUCGUUUGUAUGCCGCCGUCUUCAGGUAGCGCCCAAGGCUUUGCUGAGAAUCUUUCAGAAAAAAGACAGGUCAUGGUGCAGCUAAUGGCUGUGUGCGAGGUGAGUUACAAUAGAGCUUCACUUCCGCUGUGUGCCUUAAAAUGCUUACAAAAGUAGGACUUGAAAGUAAAAAGCACUCGCUAGUACCUUUUGAAUUGACUUUGGGCCCGUGCACAAAUCGCCCGUCACUCUCGCUGAAAAGUGAGAUAAGUCGUAACACAGUAGGGGUAGUGGAAGCUGCCCCU
rnacentral:rRNA from 1 species